ACUGCUCAGUAACACGUGGACAACCUACCCUCCGGACGGGUAUAAACCCGGGAAACUGGGUAUAAUCCCCGAUAGAUCUCGGUCGCUGGAAAGCUCCGAGAUCGAAAGCUCCGGCGCCAGAGGAUGGGUCUGCGGCCUAUCAGGUAGUAGUGGGUGUAGCGUACCUACUAGCCUACGACGGGUACGGGUUGUGAGAGCAAGAGCCCGGAGAUGGAUUCUGAGACACGAAUCCAGGCCCUACGGGGUGCAGCAGGCGCGAAAACUUUACAAUGCCGGCAACGGCGAUAAGGGGACCUCGAGUGCCAGGUUACAAAUCUGGCUGUCGUGAUGCCUAAAAAGCAUUGCAUAGCAAGGGCCGGGCAAGACCGGUGCCAGCCGCCGCGGUAACACCGGCGGCUCGAGUGGUAACCGUUAUUAUUGGGUCUAAAGGGUCUGUAGCCGGCCGGAUAAGUCUCUUGAGAAAUCCAGCAGCUCAACUGUUGGGCUUUCAGGAGAUACUGUCUGGCUCGAGGCCGGGAGAGGUGAGAGGUACUUCAGGGGUAGGGGUGAAAUCUUGUAAUCCUUGAAGGACCACCAGUGGCGAAGGCGUCUCACCAGAACGGACCUGACGGCAAGGGACGAAAGCUAGGGGCACGAACCGGAUUAGAUACCCGGGUAGUCCUAGCCGUAAACGAUACUCGCUAGGUGUCGGCCACGGUGCGACCGUUGUCGGUGCCGUAGGGAAGCCGUGAAGCGAGCCACCUGGGAAGUACGGCCGCAAGGCUGAAACUUAAAGGAAUUGGCGGGGGAGCACCACAACGGGUGGAGCUUGCGGUUUAAUUGGAUUCAACGCCGGAAAUCUUACCGGGACCGACAGCAACAUGAAGGCCAGGCUGAAGACUUUGCCGGAUUAGCUGAGAGGUGGUGCAUGGCCGUCGUCAGUUCGUACUGUGAAGCAUCCUGUUAAGUCAGGCAACGAGCGAGACCCCCACC
rnacentral:rRNA from 1 species